rnacentral:rRNA from 1 species
GAUGAACGCUGGCGGCGUGCCUAAUACAUGCAAGUCGAGCGAACGGACGAGAAGCUUGCUUCUCUGAUGUUAGCGGCGGACGGGUGAGUAACACGUGGAUAACCUACCUAUAAGACUGGGAUAACUUCGGGAAACCGGAGCUAAUACCGGAUAAUAUUUUGAACCGCAUGGUUCAAAAGUGAAAGACGGUCUUGCUGUCACUUAUAGAUGGAUCCGCGCUGCAUUAGCUAGUUGGUAAGGUAACGGCUUACCAAGGCAACGAUGCAUAGCCGACCUGAGAGGGUGAUCGGCCACACUGGAACUGAGACACGGUCCAGACUCCUACGGGAGGCAGCAGUAGGGAAUCGUCCGCAAUGGGCGAAAGCCUGACGGAGCAACGCCGCGUGAGUGAUGAAGGUCUUCGGAGCGUAAAACUCUGUUAUUAGGGAAGAACAUAUGUGUAAGUAACUGUGCACAGCUUGACGGUACCUAAUCAGAAAGCCACGGCUAACUACGUG